rnacentral:rRNA from 1 species
UACGUAGGUGGCAAGCGUUGUCCGGAUUUACUGGGCGUAAAGCGUGCGCAGGCGGAUUGUUAAGUAGGGAGUGAAAGGUUGGGGCUCAACCCUAACACUGCUCCCUAUACUGGCAGUCUUGAGUGGCGGAGAGGAAGAUGGAACGACACGUGUAGCGGUGAAAUGCGUUGAUAUGUGUCGGAACACCAAUGGCGAAAGCAAUCUUCUGGACGCAAACUGACGCUCAUGCACGAAAGCCAAGGUAGCAAACAGG